GACAGAGGGUGCAAACGUUGCUCGGAAUUACUGGGCGUAAAGCGCGUGUAGGCGGUUCCGCAAGUCAGGUGUGAAAGCCCAGGGCUCAACCCUGGAAGUGCACUCGAAACUUCCGAGCUGGAGUCCUGGAGAGGAAGGCGGAAUUCUCGGUGUAGAGGUGAAAUUCGUAGAUAUCGAGAGGAACACCGGUGGCGAAGGCGGCCUUCUGGACAGUGACUGACGCUGAGACGCGAAAGCGUGGGGAGCAAACAGG
rnacentral:rRNA from 1 species